ACUGGGGACCCGGGACUGCGAGGCUUACCAGUGACGAGCAAGUGACACACGCUUAUUCCCUGCCUCCACCAAAGAAGUGCAUCUCAUCGAAGAAGGAAUCAAAGGAAGCUGGUCGACGAGCUCAGCAUCGGUCCCUGGCAGUGAGCAGUGAGCCGCGUGGCACCCCUGGCAGACGUGUGUUACUGAGCAAACCAGAGACUGAGAAGCAGAGGGUGGGAGAACAGUGCCAUGUAUUCCUCAUGAGUUCUGUGAUCGCUCACAGGCUGGGCAGGAAGGGAAGUUAAAAAGGAAAAAAAAAUGAAGGGAAGAUACAUGAAAUUGUGUGAGCAUCCAGUAGCUGCCAGACCUCAUUUAGUGACACCAUGGAUUGAAGGACAGGUGUCCUUGUCUGCAAUGCAGAGAGGAGAGGUUUCAAGCUCAAAGGCAGUAAGCAGUUCUAAACCGUCCAGUCAGGAUGCAAACACAGCAUGUUAUGAGGAUGGGCCUUGAGUCCGGCCAAGGAACAAGGGUUAGGCUUUCAGGCAUGGGACUCCCUCUAAGGCAACCUCUGGCUCACCUUGCUCUCAUCAUCUCUCUGGUGCUAAGAGUGCCACCUGAGCUUGGACACCUGGAAGCCUUGUUCCUCAAAAGCAGGAGAGAAUGAGGACUGGACCGUGCUGGAAUUCCUUGACCCCUCCUCCAACCCAAGGCACAGAUCAUCUUCCCAGGAAGAUUGAGGGGACUCCAUGCUAAGAAUCUGCCCUCCUGCACAUGCCAACCACAAGCAUGAAAGGUUAUUUUUUAAGACCAUUGUGAGAAAAAAAAUUGCUGCCAUCCUUGAAGGCAGCAUUUCUGCCUGUGAUUCCUUAAUGACUUCAGUCUCUGCCCUUGUUCAUUUAUUGUUGCUAUAAUUAUAAAUGCCUCCGUGGUUUGGGGAGAGUUUUCUGGAAGCAAGGAGGCAGAAAAUCUAUUUUCCUGAAAGCUUUUCUUUUUAAAUUAGGCUGUUGUUUCUUGUGUCCCUAAUGCCAACCUAAUGACCUUUCCUGAUGAGAUGACUGUGUCUGAAUUGCUGCAAUUGCUUCUCUGCAGAAGGCGUUUUCUUGUUUUCUUGGGCUGUCCUGAGUGGGUAGAGCAGGGGUCCUUCGUCUUGGCUAGUGUUCUGCUGUACAGUCACCAGUGUUGACUGAGCAGGUUCUAAAAGUUUUGUCUCUGCCUCACCUCGUGAAGGUCUCACAGAAAUUCCCUGUAAGAUAGAUACAAUUGUUCUUUUAGUUAUAUGGUAAGACUCUGACUGGAUCUUAGACUCUUGGCUACUGGGUUUUGCACGUGCUUAAAAAGGGGCUUUAGGAGAGUGCAUUUUGAUAUUCUCACAUUCAAGGUGUGGGGAUGGGGAGGCAUACCUUUGGAUGUUACUGGAAAUACUAUGCAUUUGGGGAAGUCUUCUGAAACUUACGAGAGAAAGCUAAUUCUAAUUUUAAAUUUUUAGGGAGUGAGUGGGAAGAAGUUUCUAGAAUUAGCCUAAGAAAGUUCUGUGACUUUGCAAAGCUAGGAGAUCUCUGACUUAAAUUAUUUCCAGCUUAGCAGAUGUUCUUCUAUUUUUUCUUCUCUUUUUAUCAUCUUUGAUUUGGACCAUACCUACACUCCAGCAGUCUGUCUUCUUGGCUCCAUGACGUCAGAGGAGUGCCCAUUUUGGAGGAGCUGGCUUAGCAACAAGCCCCUUCUCUGAGAACUGGCCCAAGAACAGCCCUGCUGGAGGAGCAGCCACACUAACCACAUCCAGCCCUGGACCAGUGGGGCACUAGCCACCACUACCCACUCAUCUCCAGAAUUGCAACCCAAAGAUGCAGAGACAGCAUUACCUGGCGGUGAGCUUCGGGCUUUCAGUCAUGUGAUUUGAGAUAUCAUAGUCAUGAGUGCCGUGUGUGAGCAGAGGAAGUCAGUGAAAAAAUAAAGGAGACAGUGAAUCCCAAAGAUGCAGAUAUUCUGGCUCUUGAGACACAGAAAGGGGGUCUUUGAUUGCUGGUAGAAGUUCCAGCUUCCCCCCUAACAUUCACCUGUUCUCAGGGUCCCCCUUCCAAGGAUCACCCAUGUAAGGGCAUUUGAAAGGGGCCACACAGCCUGUAUGUAUUUUCUAGUUAAGGAGGUAGACUCCAAAGCCAUGCUAUAUCUUAGUCCAAAAGUCUGCCAGAAACUUAAAAUAUUUCAAAUUAAUGUUCAGCCAAGUUCUCCAGCAUAGCUUACUAGAAGUUAUGCAAUAAACCCAAAUAAUGCAGUGAAGAAUGGCUUCAGAUUCAAACCACAUAUGACCACAUUCCAAUGGAUAAAUUUCAACCCAAAAGAGAAGUUUAUUUUCCUUCUCAAAUAAGGAUUCCAAUGUUUAAUUUUUUUUUCUUUUCUGGAUUGAUGCAUAAUAGGAAUCUUCGGGAGGGACAACAUGAUCUUCUGAGAAGAGGGAGCUCAUUGGCACAAUUAGUUAUAGACACAGCAGGUUGAGCCCAGGUUCAGAGUCUUUGGUGCAAGCUAAAGGAGGCCCUGCAAGGAGACAGCCAGAGCUAAGAGUGUGAAAAGUGACAAGUGAGGCCAACUGUCCUCCCUGAAGCAUGAGACAGUUAAAUGGUGCAAUACUAAAACAGUCUCAGCUA
rnacentral:lncRNA from 1 species